GACGAACGCUGGCGGCGUGCUUAACACAUGCAAGUCGAACGGAGCGAACGAAAGCUUGCUUUUAUGAGCUUAGUGGCAAACGGGUGAGUAACACGUAGACAACCUGCCGACAGGAUGGGGACAACAUUCCGAAAGGAAUGCUAAUACCGAAUGAAGCGGAGGAGAGGCAUCUCUCCUCUGUGAAAGAUGGCCUCUAUAUAUAAGCUAUCACCUGUCGAUGGGUCUGCGUCUGAUUAGCUGGUAGGUGAGGUAACGGCUCACCUAGGCGACGAUCAGUAGCCGGUCUGAGAGGAUGAACGGCCACAUUGGGACUGAGACACGGCCCAGACUCCUACGGGAGGCAGCAGUGGGGAAUCUUCCGCAAUGGGCGCAAGCCUGACGGAGCAACGCCGCGUGAGUGAAGAAGGUCUUCGGAUCGUAAAGCUCUGUUGAUGGGGGACGAACGUGCCUAAUGCGAAUAGUUUAAGGCCAAUG
rnacentral:rRNA from 1 species